AUUUAACCUAUACCCUUUAAUAGACAUAGUUUGGGGGUAAUUACCUGUGUGUCAGCAGCAUGUGAAUUUGGGCCAUGGGCGGAACCAUUAUAUAAUCUUGUAGACCAUUGGCUUAUUGUGCUUAUCUUGUCUUGCUGUUAGAACCUACCCAGGGGUUUCGGAAAACCCAUUCCUUUUCCUUCUCUCCAUCCAAUGAGCACCAUAUAUAAUCUAUUGUGACUAAUUGUUUUGCAGUGUCUCUGAGCCUAAUAAGCAAAGUGACACUCCGCCAGCACUGUGCGUAAUAAACUCCUGCGCUUGACUCUGCACUGUGUGGAUUAUUGUUCCUUCAGAUGGGGGCUUGUCCAGGAUACAAGCUUGUGAACUGAUUGAGGAACUGAGACUGAGAUCCAAGAGAGGUUCGAAGUGGCCGUCACUGAGAAACUGAUGCACAUGGAGCUGGUCCAGAUGAACGGUACCUUCUGGUGUGUGACUACCCAGAACCACUCCAUCGAGUUAAAUGGAAAGCCCUGUCCCUCGACACAUGCAUCCGUGUGCACGAUGGUUCCCCAAAGGGCAACCCUAACUGUUGACGGGACACGGCUCCACCGUACUCUGCCAAUGACGGCUAACCUUACAUGGGAUCGGGAAUGGCACUACGGCAGAAUGUACCUGUUGGUCAACCGAAAGAGCUGCUACCUCAUUCCCCUGGACCCCAACAUUAGGAUUUAACCUAUACCCUUUAAUAGACAUAGUUUGGGGGUAAUUACCUGUGUGUCAGCAAUAUGUGAAUUUGGGCCAUGGGCGGAACCAUUAUAUAAUCUUUUAGACCAUUGACCUAUUGUGCUUAUCUUGUCUUGCUGUUAGAACCUAUCCAGGGGUUUGGGAAAACCCAUUCCUUUCGCUUCUCUCCACCCAAUGAGCACCAUAUAUAAUCUAUUGUGACUAAUUGUUUUGCAGUGUCUCUGAGCCUAAUAAGCAAAGUGACACGCCGCCAGCACUGUGCGUAAUAAACUCUACACCAUGUGGAUUAUUGUUCCUUUACUCAUGAAGUCAUACACAGGCACCCUGGACAGUAGUAAGGAGCUGUUCAACUACAGGCUGAACAAGUGCAGAAUGGUGGUAGAAUGUGC